rnacentral:rRNA from 2 species
UGGGGAAUUUUGCACAAUGGGGGAAACCCUGAUGCAGCGACGCCGCGUGAUUUAGAAGGCCUUCGGGUUGUAAAAAUCUUUUCUAUGGGAAGAAAAUGACAGUACCAUAGGAAUAAGGACCGGCUAAUUACGUGCCAGCAGCCGCGGUAAUACGUAAGGUCCGAGCGUUGUCCGGAACCAUUGGGCGUAAAGGGUACGUAGGCGGGUAAGCAAGUUAGAAGUGAAAUCCUAUAGCUCAACUAUAGUAAGCUUUUAAAACUGCUCAUCUUGAGGUAUGGAAGGGAAAGUGGAAUUCCUAGUGUAGCGGUGAAAUGCGCAGAUAUUAGGAGGAAUACCGGUGGCGAAGGCGACUUUCUGGCCAUAACCUGACGCUGAGGUACGAAAGCGUGGGUAGCAAACAGG